rnacentral:rRNA from 1 species
GACGAACGCUGGCGGCGUGCUUAACACAUGCAAGUCGAGCGGUAAGGCCCUUUCGGGGGUACACGAGCGGCGAACGGGUGAGUAACACGUGGGUGACCUGCCCUUAGCUCUGGGAUAAGCCUGGGAAACUGGGUCUAAUACCGGAUAUGACUCCAUAACGCAUGUUGUGGGGUGGAAAGCCUUGUGCGGCUAGGGAUGGGCCCGCGGCCUAUCAGCUUGUUGGUGGGGUGAUGGCCACCAAGGCGACGACGGGUAGCCGGCCUGAGAGGGCGACCGGCCACACUGGGACUGAGACACGGCCCAGACUCCUACGGGAGGGCAGCAGUGGGGAAUCUUGCGCAAUGGGCGAAAGCCUGACGCAGCGACGCCGCGUGGGGA